GCCGAGGCGGCCGGGGGGACAGGUACAGGUGCCCGUCUCCUGUGCGCAGGGCUACGCCGACGUCCCAGCCCGCCUCCUCCAGCGGGAGGGAAACAAAGACGGCGAGAGAGGCAGGGAGAGUUGCCUGUAAGUUUAGCGCCUUUCAGUCGUGACUCGCGGAGAUAAAUGAUAGUUUGGAGGUGCGCGCAGUUAAUCACCGCCACGGCUGCCGUACAGCGUGUGCAACCCGCAGAUCAUUAGGUUAAAUGGAGGACAUUCGUGUCCUUCCAGAAUCAAUGCAAUUAUUGUUGGCAACAAGGACAACAAUUGAAGUGGCAGCACUAAUUUUACUAACCUGCUAUUAAUUAUGGUGUCCCCCACGCCCCAGACGGCGUUUAUAACCCGCGGAAGCAAGCGGCGCUGGCUGCUUCUGUUUUAAAACGGGAAAAGUUGGAAGUGGAAUGCCUGGUCGUGUUGGAAAGUGUUAAUCAGUAGGAAAGAGUGUGAUCAGUGGAACUAUUCACUUGAGCGUCACUCUGGUACAGGGGGUUAGUGAAGUGGCUGUGGCGCCUGGGGACCGAAGGCUCCGUGCCGCGCCGCGCAGGUACCGCGCACUGAGACAUGUCUGCGUUAGCUCCCCGCAGCUCCCUGCCACGCCAGCCAGCGCACACCAGAGGAGAGAAGCCCUGCCAUGGCACAGCCAUCGCUACCAGGUUUUAGCCGAAGCCUGGCGUGAUUGCAGGUAAAAAAUUUCUUCCUUUGGUGGUGAUGCCUGUGAUUGUGUGUGUGUGUGUUUGCGUCUCUAUGGAAGCGGGGGGUGGAGGGGAGCGGUGGGGCUUACCCCCCCCACCCUGCCCCCCUUCUCUUUCGGAGCCUGCUUCAGCAGCAAGGCAGCUGAAACAGAACUGCUGGAGGGAAGAGAAACUAUCCGUGAUGAAUCAUUUGGCUUUGUGCAAUCUUUACCUAGGACAGAGGCAUCUAGGGACCUGUGGUUACCAAUCAAUUGGUACAACAGAGCAGAGCCAGGCUGCAAUAGCGUGCAGAUCAGACGCCUCGCCUUGUUUCUAGAUAACUGGGAGCCUCUGUACCAUGUCCUAUCCUCAGUUUGGCUACCCUUACUCCUCUGCACCCCAGGUAAGACUUUUUGCCUACCAACGUUAAUUGAUUAAAUUUCAGUCCUUAUCGAUGCCUUCCGUCCGGGAUGAGGGCGGCAGCGAUCCUCUCCCGCAUGCGGUAGCUGUAUAGCAGAUGCUCUCUCCGCAGCUUUACAAGACUCCCAAGUUAUCUGUCGGGCACCAGUUUUAAAAUGGGAUGAAACACGCGGGAUUUAGGGUGUUUGGGGGUGAUAAAGACUCGUGGGAGAUGAUUACAGAGAUGAGAGAGGUGAGAAGGGGAGCUGGAGAUCCCCAACUCCCACCCGCACCUCCCCCCCCCCUUUUUUUUUUCUCUUUCACUAUUAAAUUCACAGUUUAUCAAUUAAACAUGGAUGUACACAGGUCCGGCCCGUAGAAAAAGAAUGGGACAUUCUAAACCAGCAGGUUAAUAACAGAUGCGUGCGUGGCUGUUACAAAUCUGCAGUCAAAAUAAAUAUGCAUGAAUGACUUCGAAAAAAAGGGUU
ensembl:lncRNA